rnacentral:rRNA from 1 species
AUUGAACGCUGGCGGCAGGCCUAACACAUGCAAGUCGAACGAGUGGCGGACGGGUGAGUAAUGUCUGGGAAACUGCCUGAUGGAGGGGGAUAACUACUGGAAACGGUAGCUAAUACCGCAUACCAUCAGAUGUGCCCAGAUGGGAUUAGCUAGUUGGUGGGGUAAAGGCUCACCAAGGCGACGAUCCCUAGCUGGUCUGAGAGGAUGACCGGCCACACUGGAACUGAGACAAGGGCCAGACGCCUACGGGAGGGAGCAGUGGGGAAUAUUGCACAAUGGGGGCAAGGCUGAUGCAGCCAUGGCGGGUGUAUGAAGAAGGCCUUCGGGUUGUAAAGUACUUUCAGCGGGGAGGCGUUACCCGCAGGAGAAGCACCGGCUAACUCCGGGCCAGCAGCCGCGGUAAUAC